GGAUUGUGGCUCAGCGGUAGAGCGCUCAUUUAGCAUGGGUGGGACCCGGCUUCGAUCCUCAGCACCA
rnacentral:tRNA from 1 species